rnacentral:rRNA from 1 species
CUGGCUGGUCGAAGAUACCAGGCCGCUGCGACUGUUUAUUAAAAACACAGCACUCUGCAAACACGAAAGUGGACGUAUAGGGUGUGACGCCUGCCCGGUGCCGGAAGGUUAAUUGAUGGGGUUAGCGCAAGCGAAGCUCUUGAUCGAAGCCCCGGUAAACGGCGGCCGUAACUAUAACGGUCCUAAGGUAGCGAAAUUCCUUGUCGGGUAAGUUCCGACCUGCACGAAUGGCGUAACGAUGGCGGCGCUGUCUCCACCCGAGACUCAGUGAAAUUGAAAUCGCUGUGAAGAUGCAGUGUAUCCGCGGCUAGACGGAGAGACCCCGUGAACCUUUACUGUAGCUUUGCACUGGACUUUGAGCCUGCUUGUGUAGGAUAGGUGGGAGGCUUUGAAGCGUGGACGCCAGUUCGCGUGGAGCCAUCCUUGAAAUACCACCCUGGCAUGCUUGAGGUUCUAACUCUGGUCCGUGAUCCGGAUCGAGGACAGUGUAUGGUGGGCAGUUUGACUGGGGCGGUCUCCUCCUAAAGAGUAACGGAGGAGUACGAAGGUGCGCUCAGACCGGUCGGAAAUCGGUCGCAGAGUAUAAAGGCAAAAGCGCGCUUGACUGCGAGACAGACACGUCGAGCAGGUACGAAAGUAGGUCUUAGUGAUCCGGUGGUUCUGUAUGGAAGGGCCAUCGCUCAACGGAUAAAAGGUACUCCGGGGAUAACAGGCUGAUACCGCCCAAGAGUUCAUAUCGACGGCGGUGUUUGGCACCUCGAUGUCGGCUCAUCACAUCCUGGGGCUGAAGCCGGUCCCAAGGGUAUGGCUGUUCGCCAUUUAAAGUGGUACGCGAGCUGGGUUUAGAACGUCGUGAGACAGUUCGGUCCCUAUCUGCCGUGGACGUUUGAGAUUUGAGAGGGGCUGCUCCUAGUACGAGAGGACCGGAGUGGACGAACCUCUGGUGUUCCGGUUGUCACGCCAGUGGCAUUGCCGGGUAGCUAUGUUCGGAAAAGAUAACCGCUGAAAGCAUCUAAGCGGGAAACUUGCCUCAAGAUGAGAUCUCACUGGGAACUUGAUUCCCCUGAAGGGCCGUCGAAGACUACGACGUUGAUAGGCUGGGUGUGUAAGCGUUGUGAGGCGUUGAGCUAACCAGUACUAAUUGCCCGUGAGGCUUGACCA